rnacentral:lncRNA from 1 species
AACAUAGAGAACUAAUUCUAUUCAAUAGCAAAAGAAUAUUUUGAGAUCGUUCAGCUGUCGAGGGGAAAAAAUGCGCCCAAAAUAAACAAAUCUUUGGUAUUUUUUCAUGACAAAUUAACUCUUAAAAUCAAAUAAUAUUGUUAAUUGGGAUUAAUUUGCCACUUCUUUUUAAUUGAAAUGCGUGUUAUAGGGUCAAAAUGCCUAUUUGUGUAGCGUUCAAUUGCACAUUUUCAUUCAAUCUUCCAAGACUAAGGAUUAAUCCAUGGAUUGAAUGAGAAUGCCAUUAAUUUUUCCAUUCUCUUGGAAUGAUCCGUGCAGCUUAGACUGCAUCAACUCCUCAUGAGCAACAAAACGUUAAAAGUAUCGUGGAAUCGACUCCAACAUAAUUAUGUUAUAUGUAUAUAUAAUUAGAUCCUUGCAUAACAUUUAGCGAUUUCUUUUAUGAGGGAAAAUAAAUGAUUUGAUUCUGGAGAUGAAUCAAAGACAUGGUCAUUAA